rnacentral:rRNA from 1 species
AUGGAGACCUGUAUGAAUGGCAUAACGAGGGCUUAGCUGUCUCCUCUUUCAAGUCAAUGAAAUUGAUCUCCCCGUGCAGAAGCGGGGAUACUCACAUAAGACGAGAAGACCCUAUGGAGCUUUAGACACCAAGACAGACCAUGUUAAACACCCCAGAAUAAAGGACCAAACCAAAUGGCCCCUGCCCUAAUGUC